UACGGGGGGGGGCAAGCGUUGUUCGGAAUUACUGGGCGUAAAGGGCUCGUAGGCGGCCAACUAAGUCGGACGUGAAAUCCCUCGGCUCAACCGGGGAACUGCGUCCGAUACUGGAUGGCUUGAAUCCGGGAGAGGGAUGCGGAAUUCCAGGUGUAGCGGUGAAAUGCGUAGAUAUUGGGAGGAACACCAGUGGCGAAGGCGGCUCACUGGACCGGGUACUGACGCUGAUGCGCGAAAGCGUGGGGAGCAAACAGG
rnacentral:rRNA from 1 species